rnacentral:rRNA from 1 species
GGGGGGGGCGGGGGGGGGGGGUGGCGCAUGGGAGGGGGGGGGAUGGGGGGAGGGUGCUCCUGGAUUCAGCGGCGGACGGGUGAGUCAUGCGUAGGAAUCUGGCUGGUAGGGGGGGCGAACGUCGGGAAACGGGGGGUAAUACCGCAUACGUCCUGAGGGAGAAGGUGGGGGAUCUUCGGACCUCACGCUAUCAGAUGAGCCUAGGUCGGAUUAGCUAGUGGGUGGGGUCAAGGCCUACCAAGGCGACGAUCCGUGACUGGUCUGAGAGGAUGAUCAGUCACACUGGAACUGAGACACGGUCCAGACUCCUACGGGAGGCAGCAGUGGGGAAUAUUGGACAAUGGGCGAAAGCCUGAUCCAGCCAUGCCGCGUGUGUGAAGAAGGUCUUCGGAUUGUAAAGCACUUUAAGUUGGGAGGAAGGGCAGUAAGUUAAUACCUUGCUGUUUUGACGUUACCAACAGAAUAAGCACCGGCUAACUUCGUG